rnacentral:ncRNA from 1 species
CUAAAUAUGAUGAUUGGAAAGAGUAGAAAGCAGUUGGCUUUACAGAGAGUGGAAGAGUGGUGGGAUUUCCGCAGGUUCAAGCUUUUGAAAAUCAUCCAUGAGUUGCAGCCUGAAAAACAAUAAGAAGUAGGGUGUGCCGGUGAUGAGCCGUUAUAAAACGAAGUGAUUAUUGUCAUGUUUUAUUUUCAUGCUGCAAAAAUAAUUUGGGUGGUACCGCGAAAUAGCCUCGUCCCUUUG